rnacentral:rRNA from 1 species
UGGCGGACGGGUGAGUAAUGUCUGGGAAACUGCCUGAUGAGGGGGAUAACUACUGGAAACGGUAGCUAAUACCGCAUAACGUCGCAAGACCAAANAGGGGGACCUUCGGGCCUCUUGCCAUCGGAUGUGCCCAGAUGGGAUUAGCUAGUAGGUGGGGUAACGGCUCACCUAGGCGACGAUCCCUAGCUGGUCUGAGAGGAUGACCAGCCACACUGGAACUGAGACACGGUCCAGACUCCUACGGGAGGCAGCAUG